rnacentral:rRNA from 1 species
UACGUAGGGAGCGAGCGUUAUCCGGAUUUAUUGGGUGUAAAGGGUGCGUAGACGGGUAAUCAAGUUAGUUGUGAAAUCCCUCGGCUUAACUGAGGAACUGCAACUAAAACUGGUUAUCUUGAGUGCAGGAGAGGUAAGUGGAAUUCCUAGUGUAGCGGUGAAAUGCGUAGAUAUUAGGAGGAACACCAGUGGCGAAGGCGACUUACUGGACUGUAACUGACGUUGAGGCACGAAAGUGUGGGGAGCAAACAGG